AUUGAACGCUGGCGGCAUGCUUUACACAUGCAAGUCGAACGGUAACAGGUUAAGCUGACGAGUGGCGAACGGGUGAGUAAUGCAUCGGAACGUGCCCGAUCGUGGGGGAUAACGCAGCGAAAGCUGCGCUAAUACCGCAUACGAUCUGAGGAUGAAAGCGGGGGACCGUAAGGCCUCGCGCGAUCGGAGCGGCCGAUGUCAGAUUAGGUAGUGGGUGGGGUAAAGGCUCACCAAGCAAACGAUCUGUAGCUGGUCUGGGAGGACGACCAGCCACACUGGGACUGAGAAACGGCCCAGACUCCUACGGGAGGCAGCAGUGGGGAAUUUUGGACAAUGGGCGAAAGCCCGAUCCAGCAAUGCCGCGUGCAGGAAGAAGGCCUUCGGGUUGUAAACUGCUUUUGUACGGAGCGAAAAGGCCCUCUCUAAUACAGUGGGCUCAUGACGGUACCGUAAGAAUAGGCACCGGCUAACUACGUGCCAGCCGCCGCUGUAA
rnacentral:rRNA from 1 species